UCCUCCAAAAAGGAGGAGGUGGUGGUGGGCCUAGGUAGGUAGGUAGGUAUGUAAAGUCCUCCAAAUUGGAGGAGGUGGUGGUGGGCCUAGGUAGGUAGGUAGGUAGGUAGGUAAAGUCCUCCAAAUUGGAGGAGGUGGUGGUGGGCCUAGGUAGGUAGGUAGAGUCCUCCAAAUAGGAGGAGGUGGUGGUGGGCCUAGGUAGGUAGGUAGGUAAAGUCCUCCAAAUCGGAGGAGGUGGUGGUGGGCCAAGGUAGGUAGGUAGAGUCCUCCAAAUAGGAGGCGAUGGUGGUGGGCCUAGGUAGGUAGAUAGUUAAAAGUCCUCCAUAUAGGAGGGGGUGGUGGUGGGCCUAGGUAGGUAGGUUGUUAGGUAGGUAGAGUCCUCCAGAUAGGAGGAGGAGGUG